UAAUACGGAGGAUGCAAGCGUUAUCCGGAUUUAUUGGGUUUAAAGGGUGCGCAGGCGGGGCAAUAAGUCAGUGGUGAAAUCCUGCGGCUUAACCGUAGAACUGCCAUUGAUACUGUUGCCCUUGAGUAUAGUUGAGGUGGGCGGAACAUGUAAUGUAGCGGUGAAAUGCAUAGAUAUUACAUAGAACACCAAUUGCGAAGGCAGCUCACUAAACUAUCACUGACGCUGAGGCACGAAAGCGUGGGGAGCGAACAGGAUUAGAUACCCUGGUAGUCCACGCCGUAAACGAUGAUCACUCGUUGUUGGCAAUAUAUCGUCAGCGACUGAGCGAAAGCAUUAAGUGAUCCACCUGGGGAGUACGAUCGCAAGAUUG
rnacentral:rRNA from 1 species